rnacentral:rRNA from 1 species
AUGCCAACGUUUGCCCUCACAGCUCUUAAAAUCCCAGUAAAGUUGUUGAAAGAAAUAGACAAAUGUAGACGUCGAUUCCUCUGGGGCCACGAUCAGGAGCUCACCGGCGGUAGCUGCAAGGUGAGCUGGACACGGGUUUGCUCCCCGAUCGACCACGACGGCCUUGGCAUCCUUGAUCUGCCCAAGUUCAGCCGUGCCCUACGCCUAUGA